AAAAAAGGGAGAAUUCUCACAAAGUGUCACGGCGGCGAUGAAAGGCGUGAAGAAGUUGGCCUCCCAAUCCAGGUAUUCGAUUUUGGGACUUUAGGGUUUCGGUUGAGAUUUUCGCCUCCAAUUUUCUCUGUUGUGCUCUUCAAAAUCGCCUCUUCUCUCUUACUGAUUUCUCUCCUUUUAUAUUUAUGUGAAUUAGGGUUUCAAAGGUGCCUUUGGUAAUCCAGAAGAGCAACUCUGCAAAGCACUUUUGAUGUUCAGAAACUGGAUUGACCCCUUUGAUGUAUGGAUUUGAGACAGGUAAUCUGAGCAUCUGAGCAUUCCUCUCUGUUUUUGUUUUAAUUCCAAUUUGGGAAUUUCUGGAUUUUGAAUUUUACUGCUCUGAGUAAUUCUCCACUUUUUACUGCAGUGAAUUUUUUUAGAAAACUCAGUUGGUUUGGUUGAGGUUCAAUGGCUUUGGAGGUGCAAGUUUGUUCAAAAUGGAAUUGCUCCAAAUCAUUUGCUCUAAGUUCAGUCAUCACGCCAUGACCUUAUGGAAUUCAAGUUUUGAUUUGGCAGCUGCAGGACCAUGAUGACAGGAUGCUAGUACAAGGUGUGUCGAGGUGAGUUCAAAAUCCAUGUGCAUUGAUUUGCCAAAUCAAUCAUGUAUGUACCAUGUUUGAUCAUGUGAUUAGGGUAUUUGGUUAUUGAUGAAUGCAGGACCAGUUCAGCAAGGUGAAGGUUGGUUGUCAAGGCAAGGGAUCCAAGUCAUGGUAUAAUGGUCAUGAAUAUGAAAAUGAGCUAAGUUACUUGGAAAUG
rnacentral:lncRNA from 1 species